GGUAUCUUCCACAAUGGACGAAAGUCUGAUGGAGCAACGCCGCGUGAGUGAAGAAGGGUUUCGGCUCGUAAAACUCUGUUGUUAAAGAAGAACAUAUCUGAGAGUAACUGUUCAGGUAUUGACGGUAUUUAACCAGAAAGCCACGGCUAACUACGUGCCAG
rnacentral:rRNA from 1 species